rnacentral:lncRNA from 1 species
GAGUCUUCGGACACCAUUGACAAUGUCAAAGCUAAGAUCCAAGACAAGGAAGGCAUUCCACCUGACCAACAACGUCUUAUCUUCGCCGGCAAGCAACUCGAAGAUGGCCGCACCUUAGCCGACUACAACAUCCAGAAGGAAUCCACUCUACACCUUGUCCUCCGUCUCAGGGGAGGUGCGAAGAAGAGAAAGAAGAAGACCUACACCAAGCCCAAGAAGAUCAAGCACAAGAAGAAGAAGGUCAAGCUCGCCGUCCUCCAGUUUUACAAGGUGGAUGAGUCCGGGAAGGUUCAGAGACUGAGAAAAG